AAUUGGCUGGCCAUGAAGAACUGAGGAGGCUGACCUACACCUCAAGUCUCUAUGAUGUCUUUUCAAGACAUUUAAGAAGCAUCAGCUAUUUUUCAAGCAUUGGAGAUGAGCAAGUGCUGGACCUCAAGAAGAAUAUAAUAUCAGGAAAGAGUUCUCACCUUGAGUUCGGUGCUGAAGAUUAGCCAUGAAUUACUUGGCAACCAUGGAAAGUGACAGUUUAAGGCAGAUCUGCUCUUGGGUACUGUAACUUGCUUCAGGAUAUCUCAACAAGACCUGUCUAUGAACUCAACCUGGGAUUUGCCAAGGUACUUCAGCCAUCCAUUAACGGGAGAGGCAGCCUCUACUGAGGAACCUGCAUUAAUCCCUCCUCUCCCCCUAGAAGUGCUGCUGCUCAGAAAGCUUACUCCAGGAGCAAUGAGGUGACACA